GGAUUACAAGGACGAGAACACAGUGGAGUUUGUAUGCAAGAAAGACGGAAGGGAAGAUCGCAAAAUCUAUGUGAAAUGUCGGACCUGUGAUAAAUGCAUUAAGAUGGAUACAGCUACGGCUGUAGGGAUGGUUGUGGGAGUCCUGGUGGCCACUGCCUUAUUGGAGUAGCUGUUUACUGCAUCGCCUCACAGCCCAAAGCAACACUAACCGCCGGCAAGAAAAGUGAGUGACCACACAAAAGAGAAAAAACAAAGGAGUAUGUCAACUUGAAUUUGAAUGGUACCUGACGAGCCCCGACCCACUUUGUUGUUUUCUUUGUAUAUUGUGCAUUGAAUUUUGAAUACUCAGAAGUGAACACUUCUGAUUUAGCUAUUCUUAAAAACGAAAUGUUUUACAGUAAACAUACAAAAAUAAUACACAUGAAGACCAUAACCAAUCAUGUAAAGCAGUAUUUAAUUUCUCUCUUUCAUCCCUAGCAUCUAGCAAAAUGUGUCUCAUCCGCAAUGAGGCCAGUGUCAACAAAAUAACUUGUCCACAAUGAGGUCAGUGUAAACAAAAUAACUUGUCCACAAUGAGGUCAGUGUUAACAAAAUAACUUGUCCACAAUGAGGUCAGUGUAAACAAAAUAACUUGUCCACAAUGAGGUCAGUGUUAACAAAAUAACUUGUCCACAAUGAGGUCAGUGUAAACAAAAGAACUUGUCUACAAUGAGGUCAGGGUAAACAAAAUAACUUGUCCACAAUGAGGUCAGGGUUAACAAAAUAACAUGUCCACAAUGAGGUCAGUGUAAACAAAAUAACAUGUCCACAAUAAGGUCAGUGUAAACAAAAUAACAUGUCCACAAUGAGGUCAGUGUAAACAAAAUAACAUAUCCACAAUGAGGUCAGUGUAAACAAAACAACUUGUCCACAAUGAGGUCAGGGUUAACAAAACAUCUUGUCCACAAUGAGGUCAGUGUAAACAAAACAACUUGUCUACAAUGAGUUCAGUGUUAACAAAACAACCUGUCCACAAUGAGGUCAGUGUCAACAAAACAACUUGUCUACAAUGAGGUCAGUGUUAACAAAACAACCUGUCCACAAUGAGGUCAAUGUUAACAAAACAACCUGUCCACAAUGAGGUCAGUGUUAACAAAACAACCUGUCCACAAUGAGGUCAGUGUUAACAAAACAACUUGUCCACAAUGAGGUCAGUGUUAACAAAACAACCUGUCCACAAUGAGGUCAGUGUUAACAAAACAACCUGUCCACAAUGAGGUCAGUGUUAACAAAACAACCUGUCCACAAUGAGGUCAGUGUUAACAAAACAACUUGUCCACAAUGAGGUCAGUGUUAACAAAACAACCUGUCCACAAUGAGGUCAGUGUUAACAAAACAACUUGUCCACAAUGAGGUCAGUGUUAACAAAACAACCUGUCCACAAUGAGGUCAGUGUUAACAAAACAACCUAUCCACAAUGAGUUCAGUGUUAACAAAACAACCUGUCCACAAUGAGGUCAGUGUUAACAAAACAACCUGUCCACAAUGAGGUCAGUGUUAACAAAACAACCUGUCCACAAUGAGGUCAGUGUUAAUAAAACAACCUGUCCACAAUGAGGUCAGUGUUAACAAAACAACUUGUCCACAAUGAGGUCAGUGUUAAUAAAACAACCUGUCCACAAUGAGGUCAGUGUUAACAAAACAACUUGUCCACAAUGAGUUCAGUGUCAACAUAACCACUUUCGAACUCGUUAAGUUAUAGCCAUGGAUUGAUCCAUUUGUGUCUGACGGUCUGUCUGUCCUUUCUUUCUUUCAUACGGACAGAUCUGAAUACAGCACUCUGCCGGAAAGGAGACGAGAAUAAUAAAAUAUGCUCAGUGCUACAUUACUUUUACCACCCCUCAGAAUAAUAGUUGUAAAGCAUUGAGAAAUCAGGUCCACAAUGACAAGUCUCUCAACUGUCAAUUUGAUGUACAGAACCAUUGACUGUACAAGUUAAUGCCAUUCGGAUGUACAUACAUUGCCUGUUUGCUCAGUUGCUUUGUUAAGUUUGCGCUACUGUUUUGCAUGAACUAAGAUUUCCUUCUGGAACCAUAUAUCACACGUUUGUUGAAUUCUAUUUAUUUAUUUAUAUUGUAGAGAAAUUGUUUAUGUACAUACAUACAUUUUCCACAUAUUAAAAACAAACAAAAAAAACAAACAUUUUAGGCUGUUUUGUUAUUCCAUGUAGUAACACAAUUUUUGAUUUGCUUUUAUAAUGCGAGCAUAUACUUUUUUUUCAACCUGUGUACAGAUAAUGUUUGAAGAAUUAAGGUGUACGGCGGUUAGUUUUGAACUCCAAAGCUCUCGCUCAUCACUGUACCCUCUACAUGAGAGGGAGCUGGCCUUUCUUAGCUCUUUGGAGACGUAGUCAUUGGUACGUCUUCAUCGAUAAGGCCAUACUGAGACAGCUUCCCUUUUGCCUGUGUACCUACAUUGUCCAGCAGACAAAUGACACCUAUCAGCUCCGCUCAGAGGAUGGUAUCUUGUUGACUGUGCCCGGACAGAGCUGGGUAAAAAAGCAUUCUAUUUCUCUGGCCCUUCCACUUGCUACAAGCUACAGAAGGACAGGAAAUUGCAGGAGCUUGUGUUUUUGAAUUAGUUUAAAGAUGAGGUCAAAUCUAUGGUGGACAAUAAAGUGGGUGGCUGUCAAUGUUUUGACUCCGAGAUGCAACACACCUCACCAAUUAAUUUAAAUUGUCGUGCUUUGUGUUUCAUGUUGUAAUUGUGUCUGAAGCAACUAUUUUGGCCAGGUCUCUCUUGGAAAAUAGAUUUUUAAUCUCAAUGAGACUAACCUGGUGAAAUAAAACCAAAAUAAAUAAAUAAUGAAAUGGAAAGUUGGUCACAAAAUGACGACUGCAAUUGUAACAAUAAAUCAUUUACUUUUA